CUACUACAUGCAUCGGUACUGGACACGACCGAUCACCCUAAAAAAGUUCGUCGCCUUACCUUACGGGAAGUAUAAAUUGUACAUGAAGGGUCUGAAGGAUGGAAAAAGACAAGUUUGUGUGCAGCUGGUCAUCGAUAUCUACGAAGUCGGAUUUUUCCAAGCUCUGGGAUUCAAGCCACCUUUAGGAGGUUCAGCAUGGGGCCGAGGCUGAUCAACAGGUUCUUCAGCAAUGGUUGUGCACAGAUAGUGGCCUAGCAUAGCAUCUUAUGUACAGCUGAAGUAAGGAAGUACAGUGUAUUUACUUUUUAAUAAAUAAAGGUUAAUAGUCUUCAUUGUUUUAAAUGCUGCUCCAAUCUCACAAGCCACGAUGUUUCAAUUGGCAGUCCUUGAAAUGUCGUAUGGAUUCCAUAUACCUGAAAGAACUGUAAAAUUUAAUAUAAUUGGUAUGCACAUCAUGCAGUUGACAGUGUA